UACAGAGGGGGCGAGCGUUGUUCGGAAUUACUGGGCGUAAAGGGCGCGUAGGCGGCCCGCUAAGUCGAAGGUGAAAUCCCCAGGCUCAACCUGGGAACUGCGUCCGAUACUGGCAGGCUUGAAUCCGGGAGAGGGAUAUGGAAUUCCAGGUGUAGCGGUGAAAUGCGUAGAUAUCUGGAGGAACACCGGUGGCGAAGGCGGCAUCCUGGACCGGUAUUGACGCUGAGGCGCGAAAGCUAGGGGAGCAAACGGG
rnacentral:rRNA from 1 species